rnacentral:lncRNA from 1 species
GGCCGCUCAGAAGUCGUCGAACCUCCGAUACCCGGCCUCCAGCUCAGACAUAUUGUAGAUUAGCUGCAGGUAGAAGACCGGUUGUCAGAAAACUAAACUGAUAGAAAUGAAGAGGAAAGAGGAAGAAGAGGAGCUCACCUGGAUCAUAGUCGGGUAAAAAGAAGAAAGCAUGUCGGUCACCAGCCGACUCUUCAUGAUCUCCCGGUC